rnacentral:rRNA from 1 species
GUGCCAGCAGCCGCGGUAAAACGUAGGGGGCGAGCGUUAUCCGGAAUUACUGGGUGUAAAGGGUACGCAGGCGGAUUUGUAAGUUGGGUGUAAAAACUUGAGGCUCAACCUCAAGCUUGUGCCCAAAACUGUAAGUCUAGAGAGUAGGAAAGGGAAGUGGAAUUCCCGGUGUAGCGGUAAAAUGCUUAGAUAUCGGGAGGAACACCAUUGGCGAAGGCGGCUUCCUGGCCUAUCUCUGACGCUCAUGUACGAAAGCUAGGGGAGCAAACAGGAUUAGAUACCCUGGUAGUCCUAGCCCUAAACGAUGGGUGCUUGGUGUUGGGAGGUCUUCUCUCAGUGCCGGAGCUAACGUGUUAAGCACCCCACCUGGGGAGUACGACCGCAAGGUUGAAACUCAAAGGAAUUGACGGGGCCCCGCACAAGCAGCGAGGCAUGUGGUUUAAUUCGAUGCUACACGAAGAACCUUACCUGGGCUUGACAUGCUUGAGAAAGCCGGAAGAAACUCUGGCCCUCUUGAAGAGCAAUCUUUAAGACUCUUGCACAGGUGCUGCAUGGUUGUCGUCAGCUCGUGUCGUGAGAUGUACGGUUAAGUCCGUGAACGAGCGCAACCCCUCUUCUUAGUUGCUAAUAUACGUAAGUAUAUGCACUCUAAGGAUACCGCCAGCGGAAAGCUGGAGGAAGGCGGGGAUGACGUCAAAUCCUCAUGGCCUUUAUGUCCAGGGCUACACACAUGCGACAAUGGUCGGGAUAAAGCGUUGCCAACCAGUAAUGGGGAGCUAAUCGCAAAAAAACCGACCUCAUUACGGAUUGAGGGUUGCAAUUCACCCUCAUGAAGCUGGAGUUGCUAUAACCGCAAGUNCAGCUAUACUGCGAUAAUACCCUUUCCCGGGGUCUUG